rnacentral:rRNA from 1 species
UACGUAGGGUGCGAGCGUUAAUCGGAAUUACUGGGCGUAAAGGGUGCGCAGGCGGCUUUGCAAGACAGAUGUGAAAUCCCCGGGCUCAACCUGGGAACUGCAUUUGUGACUGCAAGGCUAGAGUACGGCAGAGGGGGAUGGAAUUCCGCGUGUAGCAGUGAAAUGCGUAGAUAUGCGGAGGAACACCAAUGGCGAAGGCAAUCCCCUGGGCCUGUACUGACGCUCAUGCACGAAAGCGUGGGGAGCAAACAGG